UAGUCCACGCCGUAAACGAUGUUUGCUAGUUGUCAGGCCCUCAGGGUUUGGUGACGGAGAGAAAUCAUUAAGCAAACCGCCUGGGGAGUACGGCCGCAAGGUUAAAACUCAAAGGAAUUGACGGGGACCCGCACAAGCGGUGGAGCAUGUUGUUUAAUUCGAAGCAACGUGAAGAACCUUACCUACACUUGACAUACUCGUCGGGGAUUUCAGAGAUGAUUUCCUUCGGUUCGGCCGGACGAUGUACAGGUGCUGCACGGCUGUCGUCAGCCCGUGUCGUGAGAUGUUUGGUUAAGUCCAGCAACGAGCGCAACCCCUAUCGUAUGUUACCAGCAUUUAGUUGGGGACUCAUGCGAGACUGCCGGUGUUAAGCCGGAGGAAGGUGGGGACGACGUCAAGUCAUCAUGGCCCUUACGUGUAGGGCUAGAAACGUGCUACAAUGGGAGUUACAGUGGGCAGCAACGUCGCGAGGCGAAGCAAAUCCCUAAAAGCUCUCUCAGUUCGGAUAGGACUCUGCAA
rnacentral:rRNA from 1 species